rnacentral:rRNA from 1 species
AUUGAACGCUGGCGGCAGGCCUAACACAUGCAAGUCGAGCGAGCGGCGGACGGGUGAGUAAUGUCUGGGAAACUGCCUGAUGGAGGGGGAUAACUACUGGAAACGGUAGCUAAUACCGCAUACCAUCAGAUUUUCCCAGGUGGGAUUAGCUAGUCGGUUGGGUAACGGCUCACCUAGGCGACGAUCCCUAGCUGGUCUGAGAGGAUGACCAGCCACACUGGAACUGAGACACGGUCCAGACUCCUACGGGAGGCAGCAGUGGGGAAGAUUGCACAAUGGGCGCAAGUCUGAUGCAGCCAUGCCGCGUGUGUGAAGAAGGCUUUCGGGUUGUAAAGCACUGUCAUCGGGGAAGCGUUACCCGAAGAAGAAGCACCGGCUAACUCCGUGCCAGCCGCCGCGGUAAUUC